rnacentral:rRNA from 1 species
AGAUUGAACGCUGGCGGCAUGCCUAACACAUGCAAGUCGAACGGGAGUAGCAAUACUCUAGUGGCGGACGGGUGAGGAAUACGUAGGAAUUUGCCCUUAAGUGGGGGAGUAACCCGGGGAAACCCGGAUUAAUACCGCAUGACCUCGAAAGAGCAAAGUGGGGGAUCGCAAGACCUCACGCUUUUGGAGAAGCCUACGUCGGAUUAGCUAGUUGGUGAGGUAAUGGCUCACCAAGGCGACGAUCCGUAACUGGUCUGAGAGGAUGAUCAGUCACACCGGAACUGAGACACGGUCCGGACU